UCCAUCGGAGCCACUAUAGCUUUUAUCAUGCCAUUACACUUUGUACUGACCAUCCUCCAAACAGGCAUCACCUUUGUUUACACCUUUAUCUCUACAUCUCAGAGGCCAGCUGAAACCAAGCCCCACACCUAUAUAAAAAUGCCCUAAGCAGCCACACUAACCCUUUACAUCGGUCAUUGAGAGCAUAACACUUUCGUUCAUCAGCACGAGCAUUUUACUUUUAAUUUAACUAGUUUAGGAGCAUUUUGCUUUUCUUUACCGCUCUGAAACACACAGAGGCUAAUAGUUUUCAAACAGUGUCACAAAUAACAUGUAUUCCUUUAGAAAUAAACUAUGAUACUUCUAAAAACAAACAAACACAUAUUCUUUCCUCAUCACUAGCCAAUUCACCAUUUUAUUUAAAUAUCUGAAUUUUCGGAAUAAUGAUCCAAGCGGGACACAGAGGCUGCUAGUUUAACGCACCAGAAUGCAAAUAUAAAUAAAUGCAUGACUAUCCUGAGAGCUAGCUGCAGCGACACCUUUCUUUCAGACGGAUGCCUGGAUGUGCGUUGGAGCCAACUGUGCUACCCGCACACAGCGUUUCUGACCUACGGGCGCUGCUUAUACAACAGAGAAAAGCAACAAUACAGCGUGUUUCUCUGCUCCAAGACAUCGGCGGGCCUUUCACACGAAGGAAGGUCACAGCAGGAGCUUUUUCAAACGCGUUUCCAAUCAUUUUUACAAGAAGUGUAGCUCAUACAAUGGUAUUAUUGUAUUAUUUGCGAUACUUUAUAAAUAUGAAACUCUAAAGAUUUGGAGUUCAUGCAAAUUGUGAAACAAGAAUCUAAAUAUUUGUGUCACAGUGAUUUCUAUAAAAGCAUGUUGUUUAUGGGGAUAAUGUAACAAAUCUUUUGUGGCCCUAUUAAUGAUCAAUGGUAAUUGAAGAGGAAGCUGAACCCCGGCUCUGGACAUUUUCAGGACAAGCGACAGCGCAGACAUCUACUAAUGAGAGAACAUGUUUUAUCAUCAUAAACACUGUGAUAUGAAGUAUCGUUAAAGUGUCACUUCAGUAAUGUUUUUAAUAGAUGACUUUAAAACACUAAACUCUAAUUUCUGUGGUUUAUUUUAAGUUUACAGAAUAUAACAUGUGGUAAGACGACGAGUUUUACUUCUCACAAGUUGUGAUAUGUGUAUCUAUUAUCAUGUAUGCUACUUUGCUCUGUGGACUGUAAAAUGUUUCAUUGUGUUCAUGAAAUAAACCAAACUUUCACCGUCUGCAUCUUUUACUGUUUUUUCUGCUUUUGUUCACUCCAAGUUUGACAAACCCACAGACAUCCAGAGUUAACUCACUAACAAUGUGGAGCAGUCUCAGUGUAUUUAGCAGCUUUUCCCCUAAACACAACCAACUGAGAGAAACGCUUGUAGUCCUCACUUUGGUCAUUUUGAACGUUGAAGGAGUUUUGUUCCAUAGACACCUUAUACUAGUGUUUCCUGCACUUAAUCCAUCACUACUAUGUUCUAUUUAAAUUCAGAUUCCUUUUAUAGUUUGCAGUUUCUUUACUAACACAUUUGUAGAUAAGUUUAUUGCUGAACCACACAGCUAGCAGUCUCACUCACUCUCUAGGUUUUGAAGUUUUGUGUGUAAUGGUUUUAGUCUAUCAAACCUUACCUUUUUCUCCCCAGUAUCACAACAGUAUGACUCCCAAAGUACGGCUCAGUAAACAACCAAUGAUUCUAAAGCCAGAACAGAAAGAUACAGUUGGAAGAUGCAUGAUUGCGUUUUUAUGAAGCGUAGUAAAACUGGCCCCUCUUCUUCUUCUCUGUGUUGUUGUUGUUGUUCUUGUGUGUGUGUGUGUGUGUGUGUGUGUGUGUGUGUGUGUGUGUGUGUGUGUGUGUGUGUGUGUGUGUGCCUUAGAAGUCAAAUAAUACAUUAGCCACACUUAAAAAAACAAAAAACAUUUGAAUUUCAUUUAGAACUGAGAUUCUAAGUUGUAAGCAGAAAUCUUGUGCUCAGCCACAAACAUGUUUCCCCACUUUCACAAUGCUGAGGUGUCAAAUCCACAACCCCCAACAAAUGGUUUGUUACACGCGGGUGUGAAGGGCAAGCUUUACUUACACAGCCUCACACACAGUAGAUUUUUAAAGUUUUUGGGUACAGUGGUUUAGCCACAGAUGUAACUUCUACUUUUGAUAAAGAUCACUCCACCUGCAUAUUUCUUAAGAAAUUAAGCAUCUUUAUUAAGCUCUUAUUUAUACAUGUCUACACAAUAAUAGACACUGUGUGCUCUGUGACAUUAUAGUCUUCUACUUCAGCGUUCAUUGGUUUGCAUUUUAAACUCCCAACCUUUCAGGUUGUUAUGAACGACUUAUAUUUCUAACAUUUUGUGAUAUAAAAGUGAACCAUGUGGGUUUUUUUUUUAAUUUUCUGUGUGAUGGAAUGACUUAAGACACGAGUUAUUUAAACAAUUCUAAAUGACAGUGUGAUGGCCACAGUACUUUAUGCUGGACCAAAUAUGUUAAGGAUAAUGUUUAUCAACGUAAAAUUGCAAAGAACCUUUGAAUAGAUUAUAACAUUUUGUAAACAGUUACCUCAGAACCUGUACUGUCAGCCCUAUGUAUGUAAGGUGAAACUUUCCACAGUACUUACACUUAAGUAACUAAACACAUAAAGUCACCCUUUACCAAUAAUCCACAGCUCCUUGAAAAAAGUAGCACAAACAGACAACUGACUCAGCAAUGAUGAGUAGAGCUACCCGAGGCCGAGACUCAAGCAGAAGAAAAUUAAAAGUUUUGGUUUUUGCGGCUCGAAAAAUUAAAGAAAGUAUGUUUAAUAAUUCAACAAGACCAGCACCUUCAACACGUGUACAUUCAAAUUUUGAAUCAGACUAACAUCGAUGUUGUUCAAUAGUUUUUAUCCGUUCAAAAAAAGCCAUUUUACGGCUUUAAUGUUUCCAGCUGAUAAGGAGAAUGAGUGCAUUUCAUCAAAUGCGCGUCCAAAGGCUUUAAACAUCCGCUUUGUCUGUAAAGACAGUAUCAAACUACAGAGCAUUGUUUUUACUAAAAUUCAACAUUUUCAGAUGAAAAUUUGGCUGCUUU
rnacentral:lncRNA from 1 species